GACGAACGCUGGCGGCGUGCCUAAUACAUGCAAGUCGAACGAACCGCGACUAGGUGCUUGCACUUGGUCAAGGUGAGUGGCGAACGGGUGAGUAACACGUGGGUAACCUACCUCACAGUGGGGGAUAACAGUCGGAAACGACUGCUAAUACCGCAUAGGACAUGGGCUCACAUGAUUCUGUGAGGAAAGGUGGCGCAAGCUAUCGCUAAGAGAUGGACCCGCGGUGCAUUAGCUAGUUGGUAGGGUAACGGCCUACCAAGGCGAUGAUGCAUAGCCGACCUGAGAGGGUGAUCGGCCACAUUGGGACUGAGACACGGCCCAGACUCCUACGGGAGGCAGCAGUAGGGAAUCUUCCGCAAUGGACGCAAGUCUGACGGAGCAACGCCGCGUGAGUGAAGAAGGUCUUCGGAUCGUAAAGCUCUGUUGUUAGAGAAGAACAGCGCAUAGAGUAACUGUUAUGCGUGUGACGGUAUCUAACCAGAAAGCCACGGCUAACUACGUG
rnacentral:rRNA from 1 species